rnacentral:rRNA from 1 species
UAGGGAAUCUUCGGCAAUGGACGAAAGUCUGACCGAGCAACGCCGCGGGAGUGAAGAAGGUUUUCGGAUCGUAAAACUCUGUUGUUAGAGAAGAACAAGGACGUUAGUAACUGAACGUCCCCUGACGGUAUCUAACCAGAAAGCCACGGCUAACUACGUGCCAGCAGCCGCGGUAAUACGUAGGUGGCAAGCGUUGUCCAGAUUUAUUGGGCGUAAAGCGAGCGCAGGCGGUUUCUUAAGUCUGAUGUGAAAGCCCCCGGCUCAACCGGGGAGGGUCAUUGGAAACUGGGAGACUUGGGUGCAGAAGAGGAGAGUGGAAUUCCAUGUGUAGCGGUGAAAUGCGUAGAUAUAUGGAGGAACACCAGUGGCGAAGGCGGCUGUCUGGUCUGUAACUGACGCUGAGGCUCGAAAGCGUGGGGAGCAAACAGG